UCCCCUAGAGAGUUUUCUAUUUGGCUCAGACUAACUUCAAGUUUUGCAAUUGCUUGCGCAUGGAAUUGGUUAGUCUGGGUUUGGGUCAUGUUGGUCUGUUGUUGCUGUUGGAUAAAAUCUUGUUGUUGUUUCAUCAUAUUAGCCAUCAUGAUUUCUAAUGGUGAAGAUUGUUGUGGGAUAGGGGUAUUAUAAAGAGGUACAGAUGAAACCAAAGGUUGGUUUAUUUGUGAUGGACCUAUCCUGGAAAAGUUUCUCUAAAAACCUGAUGGACCACCUUGAUGCUGAAUAGGUUCAUUUUGCUUGUACGAGAAAUUUGGGUGGAACCUAUUAUCAGGGUGGUAGACUGGGCUGAAUGAAUUAGGAGUGGGCUUCAUGAAGGCACUAUAUGAAUUUAGAGCAUUUGCUUGCUUGGCCUUUAUGG
rnacentral:lncRNA from 1 species